AUACGGAGGGUGCAAGCGUUACUCGGAAUCACUGGGCGUAAAGGACGCGUAGGCGGGUUGGUAAGUCAGGUGUGAAAUCCUACAGCUUAACUGUAGAACUUCACUUGAAACUACCAACCUAGAGUAUGGGAGGGGGAGAUGGAAUUAGUGGUGUAGGGGUAAAAUCCGUAGAUAUCACUAGGAAUACCGAAAGCGAAGGCGAUCUCCUGGAACAUAACUGACGCUAAGGCGUGAAAGCGUGGGGAGCAAACAGGAUUAGAAACCCGAGUAGUCC
rnacentral:rRNA from 1 species